GGCCUAACACAUGCAAGUCGAGCGGUAGAGAGAAGCUUGCUUCUCUUGAGAGCGGCGGACGGGUGAGUAAUGCCUAGGAAUCUGCCUGGUAGUGGGGGAUAACGUUCGGAAACGGACGCUAAUACCGCAUACGUCCUACGGGAGAAAGCAGGGGACCUUCGGGCCUUGCGCUAUCAGAUGAGCCUAGGUCGGAUUAGCUAGUUGGUGAGGUAAUGGCUCACCAAGGCGACGAUCCGUAACUGGUCUGAGAGGAUGAUCAGUCACACUGGAACUGAGACACGGUCCAGACUCCUACGGGAGGCAGCAGUGGGGAAUAUUGGACAAUGGGCGAAAGCCUGAUCCAGCCAUGCCGCGUGUGUGAAGAAGGUCUUCGGAUUGUAAAGCACUUUAAGUUGGGAGGAAGGGUUGUAGAUUAAUACUCUGCAAUUUUGACGUUACCGACAGAAUAAGCACCGGCUAACUCUGUGCCAGCAGCCGCGGUAAUACAGAGGGUGCAAGCGUUAAUCGGAAUUACUGGGCGUAAAGCGCGCGUAGGUGGUUUGUUAAGUUGGAUGUGAAAUCCCCGGGCUCAACCUGGGAACUGCAUUCAAAACUGACUGACUAGAGUAUGGUAGAGGGUGGUGGAAUUUCCUGUGUAGCGGUGAAAUGCGUAGAUAUAGGAAGGAACACCAGUGGCGAAGGCGACCACCUGGACUAAUACUGACACUGAGGUGCGAAAGCGUGGGG
rnacentral:rRNA from 1 species